GGGUGCAUAGCUCAGUUGGUAGAGCAGCUGACUCUUAAUCAGCUUGUCGUAGGUUCGAUCCCUACUGCACCCACCA
rnacentral:tRNA from 1 species